UCUUGGACAUGCCUUGCAUGGCAGGCUCCCCGCACGUAUGUGUGGCCAACUGUCAUGGGGCGGUCUUCUCAGUGUCCCCUUGUUUAUCCAUUUUGGUUGCUUGGGGUGCCUCAAAUUCGGUUGCCUGUGCGGUCUUACCGUCGUUGGUAGCACAAUGUUCCCUCAGUUUCGUAUUAUGCUUGCUCCGUUGAUGCUAUGCAUCGAUGGGCGGCCGAGGUGUUGGCAAAUUCCAUGCGCUGUGAUGMACUUUGUGCGUCGGAACUGCUUAUCGGAUGUUUGCCGGGUCUCACGGAUAUCAGUCCAUACGUUGAGUGGUCUGCGGGCUUCAAGCGCGCAAGGCUCAUGGAGUUGCCCGCACACAAAUUUGUUCCUGAUGGUUACUUGACAUGUUGUGUUUCUUCGGGAUCCACGUCGAUGAAACAUCAGCAACAAAUUUGUGAGCGUGUACAUAUCCUUACCAACUCGAAUGAUACGCGAUUGCCGGUAUGCAUUGUCACGGGGCG
rnacentral:misc_RNA from 1 species